GGGCCAGACUCCUACGGGAGGCAGUAGUGAGGAAUAUUGGUCAAUGGGCGAGAGCCUGAACCAGCCAAGUCGCGUGAAGGAUGACGGCCCUACGGGUUGUAAACUUCUUUUGUCAGGGAGCAAUUGAGUCCACGUGUGGGCUUAGCGAGAGUACCUGAAGAAAAAGCAUCGGCUAACUCCGUGCCAGCAGCCGCGGUAAUACGGAGGAUGCGAGCGUUAUCCGGAUUUAUUGGGUUUAAAGGGUGCGUAGGCGGAAUAUCAAGUCAGCGGUAAAAAUUCGGGGCUCAACCCCGCCCAGCCGUCGGAACUGCCGGGCUAGAGUGGGCGAGAAGUGCGCGGAAUGCGUGGUGUAGCGGUGAAAUGCAUAGAUAUCACGCAGAACUCCGAUUGCGAAGGCAGCGCACCGGCGCCCUACUGACGCUCAGGCACGAAAGCGUGGGUAUCGAACAGGAUUAGAUACCCCAGUACUU
rnacentral:rRNA from 1 species